rnacentral:misc_RNA from 1 species
AACUUUUGACAAUGGAUCUCUUGGCUCUCGCAUCGAUGAAGAACGCAGCGAAAUGCGAUAAGUAAUGUGAAUUGCAGAAUUCAGUGAAUCUUCGAAUCUUUGAACGCAUCUUGCGCUCCUUGGUAUUCUGAGGAGCAUGCCUGUUUGAGUGUCAUUAAAUUCUCAACUACACUGACUUUGAUUAGUGUGGCUUGGAUUUGGGGGGAAAAUUUGUUGUGGGCUUUUUUGUAGUCUGCUCCCCUGAAAUUAAUUAGCGGUACCUUGGUGGAACUGUCUACAGGUGUGAUAAUUAUCUACAUCCUAGACAUCUGCUGGAAUGCUGCUUUCUAGACCUUACUUGUAUUGACAAUCUUGACCUCAAAUCAGGUAGGACUACCCGCUGAACUUAAGCAUAUCAAUAAGCGGAGGCU